rnacentral:miRNA from 1 species
AGAUGGACAUGCUAAUGAACA